ACGCCUUAUACAUGCAAGUCGAACGAAGUAGUAAUACUUAGUGGCAGACGGGUGAGUAACAUGUAGGUAUCUUCCCUUUGGUGAGGAAUAACACGAGGAAACUUGUGCUAAUACCUCAUAAGUCUUUACGGAGAAAGCUUUAUGCGCCGAAGGAUGAGCCUGCACUUGAUUAGUUUGUUGGUGGGGUAAUGGCUUACCAAGACUUUGAUCAAUAGCUGAUCUGAGAGGAUGAUCAGCCACAUUGGGACUGAGACACGGCCCAAACUCCUACGGGAGGCAGCAGUAGGGAAUAUUGCACAAUGGAGGAAACUCUGAUGCAGCGAUGCCGCGUGAGUGAAGAAGGCCUUUGGGUUGUAAAGCUCUUUCGUCGGGGAAGAAAAUGACUGUACCCGAAUAAGAAGGUCCGGCUAACUUCGUGCCAGCAGCCGCGGUAAUACGAAGGGACCUAGCGUAGUUCGGAAUUACUGGGCUUAAAGAGUUCGUAGGUGGUUAAAAAAGUUGGUGGUGAAAUCCCAGAGCUUAACUCUGGAACUGCCAUCAAAACUUUUUAGCUAGAGUAUGAUAGAGGAAAGCAGAAUUUCUAGUGUAGAGGUGAAAUUCGUAGAUAUUAGAAAGAAUACCAAUUGCGAAGGCAGCUUUCUGGAUCAUUACUGACACUGAGGAACGAAAGCAUGGGUAGCGAAGAGGAUUAGAUACCCUCGUAGUCCAUGCCGUAAACGAUGUGUGUUAGACGUUGGAAAUUUAUUUUCAGUGUCGCAGCGAAAGCAUUAAACACACCGCCUGGGGAGUACGACC
rnacentral:rRNA from 1 species